rnacentral:rRNA from 1 species
CACGUAGGGCGCAAGCGUUGUCCGGAAUUAUUGGGCGUAAAGAGCUCGUAGGCGGUCUGUUGCGUCCGCUGUGAAAACUCGGGGCUUAACCCCGAGCCUGCAGUGGAUACGGGCAGACUAGAGGUAGGUAGGGGAGAAUGGAAUUCCCGGUGUAGCGGUGAAAUGCGCAGAUAUCGGGAGGAACACCUGCGGCGAAGGCGGGUUGCUGGGCUGACACUGACGCUGAUGCGCGAAAGCCAGGGGAGCGAACGGG